rnacentral:rRNA from 1 species
AACAAACGCUGGCGGCGUGCCUAACACAUGCAAGCCGUACGAGAAAGGGUCCUUCGGGGCCUGAGUAAAGUGGCGCACGGGUGAGUAACGCGUGGAUAAUCUGCCCUUCAGUUGGGAAUAACUCAUCGAAAGGUGGGCUAAUACCGAAUAAUGCUGUGAGACCUCGGUUGAUCAGCCAAAGAGAGCCUCUGCUUGCAAGCCCUCGCUGAAGGAUGAGUCCGCGUACCAUUAGCUAGUUGGUAGGGUAAUGGCCUACCAAGGCGACGAUGGUUAGCUGGUCUGAGAGGAUGAUCAGCCACACUGGAACUGAGACACGGGCCAGACUCCUACGGGAGGCAGCAGUGAGGAAUCUUGCGCAAUGGGGGCAACCCUGACGCAGCAACGCCGCGUGAGUGAGGAAGGUCUUCGGAUCGUAAAGCUCUGUCGGAUGGAAAGAACCGCAUAGGGGUAAACAGCCCCUGUGUCUGACGGUACCGUCAAAGGAAGCACCGGCUAACUCCGUGCCAGCCGCCGCCGUAAUAC